AGAGUUUGAUCAUGGCUCAGAAUCAACGCUGGCGGCGUGCCUAACACAUGCAAGUCGAACGCGAAAGGGGCUUCGGCCCUGAGUAGAGUGGCGAACGGGUGCGUAACACGUGGGUGACCUACCCCGAAGUGGGGAAUAACAGACCGAAAGGUUUGCUAAUUCCGCAUGUGCUCGGCUUAUCAUCGAGUCGAGUAAAGCCGUAAGGCGCUUUGGGAGGGGCCCGCGGCCCAUCAGGUAGUUGGUGAGGUAAUGGCCCACCAAGCCGAUGACGGGUAGCUGGUCUGAGAGGACGAUCAGCCACACUGGCACUGAGAUACGGGCCAGACUCCUACGGGAGGCAGCAGUGAGGAAUAUUGCGCAAUGGGGGAAACCCUGACGCAGCGACGCCGCGUGGGCGAUGAAGGCCUUCGGGUCGUAAAGCCCUUUUGUCAGGGACGAGUGAGGACGGUACCUGGCGAAUAAGUCUCGGCUAACUACGUGCCAGCCGCCGCGGUAAUAC
rnacentral:rRNA from 1 species